UACGUAGGGGGCGAGCGUUAUCCGGAAUUACUGGGCGUAAAGGGUGCGUAGGUGGUUUCUUAAGUCAGAGGUGAAAGGCUACGGCUCAACCGUAGUAAGCCUUUGAAACUGGGAAACUUGAGUGCAGGAGAGGAGAGUGGAAUUCCUAGUGUAGCGGUGAAAUGCGUAGAUAUUAGGAGGAACACCGGUGGCGAAGGCGGCUUACUGGACUGUAACUGACGUUGAGGCUCGAAGGCGUGGGGAGCAAACAGG
rnacentral:rRNA from 1 species